CGAACGACGGUCGACGGCAGAGGUAAAACCCUCACCUUCCUCCGUGGGGGCGAUGGCGGCGCCGGAAUCGGAAUGCGGCGGGAGUGACGGCUACCGCGACCUCCGCGGCGUGCGCGUCGACCUGGACACGGGAGCAGCCGGAGCCGAUGGGGGAGGAGGCUUCGCCGUCUCCUUCUGGCUCUACCUGUCCGUCUCCGCCAGACCGUCCUCAGUGAUCCUCCACCAGAUCACAGCGGGAGAUGACACCAAGUUGCCGUUUCUUGCUUUAGGUGAAGGAAACAAACUGCUUCUCUUCCCGUUGAUGAGGCUGCACAGGGAAGCUCCUGCUCCUGCUAGUUCCUACCCAUGGACUGACACAACCAAUCUAUCAUCUACGAGUGUAUGCCCUCUUGAGAAAUGGUUCCACAUUGGGUGUGAGGUUACUGAAAAUGUUAUGUGUCUUCACGUUGAUGGUUUCCUAACUGCUGAGGCCCCCCUUUGUUCACUGUUUGAUGAGCCAGACCGUCAGGAUGAUUCAAACCAAAUUAGCUUAGUUGGAAAUGAUGGCAAGCUUGAAGGCUAUAUCUAUAAUAUUGAGGUUUCAUAUGUACUAGGAGCUAUAAAAGAACAAUACACAAAGAACCCACCUUUUAAGUUAUCUAUUGACUAUUCAUGCUCUGAUGGAAUCGAAGAGGGUGAUGACGGCAUUUGGAGCAUCGUUGGUGGGAAGGCAUCUUGCCGGAGAAAUUUCAUUUUGGAAGUAGUACUAACCAACACUUUUGGUGAACCUGUGAAGGAUAAAGAGGUCGUUGCUUCACUUGUCUAUGCUGAUGAUGGAACAGUAGUUGCAAAAUCAAGGGAUGAUUCUGAGCCUCCUUUGCUUAUUACUUGAGAAGGACUUGAAUAUGCAGCGAUAAGCAGGCCUCUACCAAUUAUACGUGGGAGAGCACCAUUUAAACUCAAGAUAUCUCAGCUCUCUUCCAAAUGUGACAAUAAGCUCUUCCGUAUUAAAUUCUCUACACUUCACAUGCAAAGAUAUUCUUUUCUGGAAGCAUAUUCCAAACCGAUUCGCUGUAUAUCUCGAAGCCGCACUGUCCGCCCCUUGGGUCCUACAAAGCGGGCGAGUUCUGCAACAGCAAAUGAAAUUGACAUGCUCAGUAAUGGCCAAGGGUUUGUUAGUACUGACAAAGUAAAUAGUCGUGGACAUUCAGUGUGUCUGCAUACGCCCAUGUUUCCCAAGAUAGAAGGUGGAAUGGUGGAGGUAGUAGAGGCCCCCAAAAUAGCAUCACAGAAUAAGAAUGCCAGAAAGGUGGUAGUAAGCAAAGAAGCACAGAAUGUCAUAGGGACUGAUUCCUCAACAUCCAACUAUGACAGUUUUGAUUCAGGAAGUUCUUGGAGUGGAUCAGAAGGAGAUGAUGGUAUUGAAACCUUUUCAGACGCUGUGGUUUUCAGAUACUGUCUAGACAGCACAUAUGACCGGUCAAAGUUUCUUAGAGGUGCAUCUCUUACUGUUAACAAAGAUGACUUGGUAAAACUUGCAGACCGAGUCUCGUUAUAUAGUGGAUGCUCCCACCACAGAAACCAAAUAUUAAUGUCGAAGAGAUUGUUCAGAGAGGGUGCUGACACUUGGAACAUGAUCUCAAAGAACAAUGAACGUGCUCUUUGGUCAUCUGCCAUUCCAGAGAUCAUAACAAAAUUUACGAACAUUGUCCAUUCUGUGCGUAGGGGUUUAUCAGAGCAGGAUCUUGAGGUUUUAAGAGGCAUUGCUGGUUGUGGUGAGGACAUAGGAAGAGAUGAAUUUGAUAGGCUAUGGUGCUGGUUAUACCUAGUGGUUGUUUCAUUAUCGAGAGAGAGAAUUAAAAAGCUGUGGGAUUGCACAGCACCUAGAUGGAUAGAGGGCUUGAUUACAACAGAAGAAGCUGAGAAUGCACUAAGAAGUUCCAGGGAAUUGUUAAAGGAGGCAGGAACAUUUGUUCUCAGAUUUCCUAUCACCCGAAGCUGGCCACAUCCAGAUGCUGGAAGCCUAGUUGUCAAUUACAUUGGCUCUGAUAGCUCAAUUCAUCAUAGGCUACUCUCUCUUGAUUCCAGUGAUGCUAGCGCUGAGAAACUGCAAGAUUUGCUGCUCCAGGAACCAGAACUAUCACAGUUGGGCAGGGUUGAUCGGGUCUCAAUCACCAUCCGGAGAUGACCAAGGCUUCAAACGGUUAAACUUACAUUCAAAAGCAGGAUUUAGGAUGCUGCCACGAGAAGAGGGUCAAAAGCAUCCAAGAGCAUAGCCCAUAACACCCAUUGCCUGUUGUUACCAUGCACAGGUUGUAAAUUGGUUCCCUUCGUAGUUCGUACAAAGAGGAUGUUUUGCCGUACUAGUGAGGUCUAGUCUAGUUGCUUCAGAAAACCAACAGUAACAUCAGCUAUCAUGUGUGUUGCAAAAAGAAAGAAGCUGUCAUCAUGUGCCUCGAGACUGGAGGAUUUUCAGUGGCUAACAUGUUG